rnacentral:rRNA from 1 species
UACGAAGGGGGCUAGCGUUGUUCGGAAUUACUGGGCGUAAAGCGCACGUAGGCGGCUCUUUAAGUCAGGGGUGAAAUCCCGGGGCUCAACCCCGGAACUGCCUUUGAUACUGGGUAUCUAGAGUCCAGAAGAGGUGAGUGGAAUUCCGGGUGUAGAGGUGAAAUGCGUAGAUAUUCGGAGGAACACCAGUGGCGAAGGCGGCUCACUGGUCUGGUACUGACGCUGAGGUGCGAAAGCGUGGGGAGCAAACAGG